GAAAACCAUCAGUCAUGUUUGUCACUUCAUCAAUAAAGGCGGGAAUGUAGCUCACGCGCGCCACUGCCAAUACCCUGUCGAUAUUGAUGAGCUCCAGGUGGUCAAGCAUCUCGUGACAACCGAAUGAGUGGCGCGCAGUUACAUCCAACAGAUGACACGUAUGGUGUCGCAUUUCAGGAGUUUUCGAUACCCCAACAUUUGCUUGUAGAGUGUAACUAAAAUACACAGUUCAUUAUUCAAGAGUCUGAUUUUGUAGGAUACGUUUUUCUAUCAAUGUGUCAUUCCAGAAACAUAGAAAGUCACCUCAACUGCGACGGAAAAUAGUAGACGUGUCCUGUCCCUAAAGUUAGAUAUGGAAGAUGGCUUCGUGCAGGGUCAGAGGGUGGACACAGGAGGACAAACCCACCCCUGAGAGUCCUAUAGAGUAAGAGCCACCAGAAGCCCACCCCUAACCCAGCCCAGAGGAGGUCACGUUGUGUCACCACAGCAAAGUCCUCUGGGUAAAUAACCCCUCAAGUCUCAGUGCCUCACCGCUGCCACCACCUGAGGGGCGAGAGAGAGACGGCCCCACAGGACAACGAGCUGGAACUCAAAACAACUGGCAGUGGUUUGGAACAAAAUAAGACUAUUUGGCCAAAAUCUUGAUUUCUUUUUCAGUUACCUUUUGAAGUGAACAAAAUGGUUUGCUUUUUAGAUAAUGUAAUGGAACAAUUUGUGUUGUGCUCAUUCAAGGCCAUGGUUCUGUGAUACGGGCUGUUGCAGUGUGCAGCACUAGAAUUUAGUAAAGGUGUCCAUUUUUAGCCUUCACCAAUGUUUACUUCAUUUCUUCACUGGUUCAUUGCUUCAUUGUUUACUGGUUUGUUGCUUUACUGGUUUGCCGGUAACGGUAAGUUCAAUAAAGGUUUUUAAAAAAAAAAAAAAGAAUAUAUAAUACUUCACCGCUCCAUGUAGGCUCAGGCAAAAACGAGCGGUCUGCUGUCCCAUGAAGUAACACCCUGCUGUGGUUUGAUGUGAUGACAUGGAACAGGAGGGAGCAUAUGGAAGUUGCUCUCCAGGGAUUGAAUUAUUCCCUUUGUGUGUUUCUCUCAGCCCAGUGCUGCCAGGUGCAGGUGUAGUGACAUUUAGAUUUCACUGAGCAGAUCACAUGGCUGUCAGAUGGAGGGACAGAGAUGAAUGUAACGCAGCAUCAGAUGGGGGGACAAAGAUGAAUGUAACUCAGCAUCAGAUGGGGUUGGAGACAGGGGGGUAGAUGAAUGUAACCCAGCAUCAGAUGGUGGUGGAGACGGG
rnacentral:lncRNA from 1 species